GGGGGCGUUACGGAUUCGACAGGCAUAGUUUGAACAGUUAAGGCAAUUCGUAGGCGAUGGCUACGUUAAAACAUCACAGUUUAAAUAUAACUGACAAAACACAAAAUAAUUCUUUCGCUUUCGCUGCGUAAAAAACAGUGAGCGAAGAUCUGCCUUACUUCUCCCAUGAGUAAGUGACAGGUCUUAAAUGAAUGGGAUACGUUACAAACUUACAUCUGGAGUGCGUAAAAGAGAUUUAUCAGAUUAGCAACUUUUAAUGCCUGUUUAUUGGCUAAAAAGAAGCGAAAUAUAAAUAAAUAAACUAUAAUUGUAGAAUUGAUUGUGGCAAUAUGUUUGGACGCGGGUUCGACUCCCGCCGCUUCCAUAU
rnacentral:tmRNA from 1 species